AGCUCCAAUAGCGUAUAUUUAAGUUGUUGCAGUUAAAAAGCUUGUAGUUGAACUUGUGGCCUGGAUAGCUUGGUCUGACGCUUAUGUGUGAGUACCUGAACCAUCCGACCAUCCUUGGGUGGAACCUGUGUGGCACUAAGUUGCCGUGUAGGGGAUGCCCAUCGUUUACUGUGAAAAAAUUAGCGUAUUCACAGUAGGCUUAUGCCUUUAAAUAUAUUAACUUGGAAUAAUGAUAUAGGACUUUAGUACUAUUUUGUUGGUUUGUGCAGUAAAGUAAUGAUUAAUAGGGACAUUUGGGGAUAUUAGUAUUUUUAGGUCAGAGUUGAAAUUCUUGGAUUCUUUAAAGACUAAUUACUGCAAAAGCAUUUAUCAAGGAUGUUUUCA
rnacentral:rRNA from 1 species